UAAGCUGGUUAUUUGAUGUUAAAUGGUUACUUAUCUUUUUAUUGAAAGCUCCUGUUGAACACUGAUUUGCUCAAUUUUUGUCUAAUUUCAUUAAGGUCUUGCCAGCCAGAAGACAGGAGCCAACCAGACAGGAGCCAGCCAGACAGGAGGAGGUGUACCCUGUUGUUCAUAAAUAUGGCGUUUAUUCCUCCAAACAAGUCCAGGAUUCUGCGUUUUCGCUUCAGCGAUGCUGUCCUGUUCCCUGUCUGUGUCCCCUGUAUAUCCUCAGUUUGUGGACCUCAUGUUUCCCUGCUGCUUCCCUUGUUUGUUGCCAUGGACACUCAUUGGACCACGCCCCCUUGUUAACUCGUUAUCUUGUUUGUGCCUGUGUAUAAAUAGUCGCUGUGUUGCCUGGCGGAGUUUUGUUUAGCCGUUGUUUACCCUUGUCUUCGUGUUCCUUGCCUAGCCUAGCCUAGCCUGUGUUUUUGGAUUACCCUUUUGCCUUACCUUAUAUCUGUUUGCUGGUGAUCGACCUACUGCCUGUUUGACUACACUCUACUGUUAAUAAAGCUCAGAUUUGGAUCUCCCA